rnacentral:tRNA from 2 species
GCAGUCGUGGCCGAGUGGUUAAGGCGAUGAACUAGAAAUCCAUUGGGGUCUCCCCGCACAGGUUCGAAUCCUGUGGACCGCG